UACGUAGGGUGCGAGCGUUAAUCGGAAUUACUGGGCGUAAAGCGUGCGCAGGCGGUUAUGCAAGACAGAUGUGAAAUCCCCAGGCUCAACCUGGGAACUGCAUUUGUGACUGCAUGGCUGGAGUGCGGCAGAGGGGGAUGGAAUUCCGCGUGUAGCAGUGAAAUGCGUAGAUAUGCGGAGGAACACCGAUGGCGAAGGCAAUCCCCUGGGCCUGCACUGACGCUCAUGCACGAAAGCGUGGGGAGCAAACAGG
rnacentral:rRNA from 1 species